rnacentral:rRNA from 1 species
AUUGAACGCUGGCGGCAGGCCUAACACAUGCAAGUCGAGCGGAUGAAGGGAGCUUGCUCCUGGAUUCAGCGGCGGACGGGUGGGUAAUGCCUAGGAAUCUGCCUGGUAGUGGGGGAUAACGUCCGGAAACGGGCGCUAAUACCGCAUACGUCCUGAGGGAGAAAGUGGGGGAUCUUCGGACCUCACGCUAUCAGAUGAGCCUAGGUCGGAUUAGCUAGUUGGUGGGGUAAAGGCCUACCAAGGCGACGAUCCGUAACUGGUCUGAGAGGAUGAUCAGUCACACUGGAACUGAGACACGGUCCAGACUCCUACGGGAGGCAGCAGUGGGGAAUAUUGGACAAUGGGCGAAAGCCUGAUCCAGCCAUGCCGCGUGUGUGAAGAAGGUCUUCGGAUUGUAAAGCACUUUAAGUUGGGAGGAAGGGCAGUAAGCUAAUACCUUGCUGUUUUGACGUUACCAACAGAAUAAGCACCGGCUAACUUCGUG